AUGGCACCAACCGAAACAACACAACCAGUGAGGGAGAAAUGUGUUGGAGGGACAUUCUUUAGUGAGAAAAGGACUAUGUGUUAUUUCUGCUCAGAUGUGAUUCAUUUUCAAGAAUCACCGCAAGAGUUUGUUGGUAGAUACACUAGUUUACACAUGUAUGUGUGUGAUCACUUGCAAGACUGCAACCAAGACUGCAAAAAGCUUAAGCUUAUAUCUACUGGUGAGUUUGAAGAUGUAACUAGUUUUCCAUUUCAUGCAGGUGCGUCUUACAAUUUCGAAAAGACUGAUAAUGGUAUUUUCCGGUUAAAGCUCACUGCAAAUGCGAAAAAAAUAAUAGCUGAUUUGAGAAGGCCUCUUGAGAUUUUGAUGAAAGGCAACACUAUAAACCACCCUGACCUGACAAUAAGUGCAGUUCAGCUACUUUUGUCCCAUGAUGGUGUACUAAUACAACUUGUCAUUUUGAAAGAAAGAUUGGAAAAUCUAUACUGCACUCGACGCACACCCGCGUCCCGGGAGGCAGCUGCCGCGCGAGGCUAG
rnacentral:rRNA from 1 species